GUAGCACCUCAAACAUCCCAGUUGCCUGCUCCCCCCUUCUAGAUCAGUUUCAACCACACAGUCUGAAGCGGGAGACACGUCAAUUUCAACAGCGUUCUCUGGACUGGCAGCAUCAACCCCUCCCAGCUUCACUUUGCCUGCGACCCCUGCAAAUCAAGAAUCGCGACCUCCCUUUCCACAGGGGGCCUGGCUCAUCCCGGAUCUUGUCUCUGCAGAGGAUCUGAUUCAUCCAUGUUCCCUGGCAGUCUCACUAAGCACCCAAUGGGAAGUCGAUGAUUACGAUGAACUGUUCCAAUUUUCCCUGGAACCACACAGGUUUAAUUUGGUACACUAGCAGGUUUUCCAUUUUUCCCACCACAAUAUAAGGUAAGAAUCUCCACUUAUUCUGCAACUAGUGCUUACCCAUGACACCAAAACUCCUCUAUAGUACACGGUCUCCUUUCUUCAGAAUCUGUUCGACUAAUUUCUCAUGUGCUCUCUUGUUCCAUCCAUGACUCUUCUCAGCACCUUCUUUAGCUAACUAAAGAAGCCCUGCUUAGGUGUCCUCUCAAUUUUGUGAGGAACCGUUGAUACCGCACUUCCUCACCCCAAAACACAGAUCUAUAGGCAGACGAGCUUCCCUGUCAGACAUCAGCAAAACAAGGGGAGUAGCCAGUCGCCUCAUUUCACAUGCAGUUAUAGGCAUGUACGAGUUGACUGAUCUUCUGACCGUUUCUGCUUCUGCCCAGGAUCCAAUGCUCCCAAUGUGGACAGCAGAGUCCUGUUGAAUUUCUCUGGUUGGAAAUCCCCCUGGGGGGUGGCAGGGUGUCGUGGGAGACUUUCUGAUCCCCCAACAUUCUUAGGAGAUUGUGGAUCAGCUUUGACUCACAGUCAUAUCGCUGAUCAGAGUGAAUGUGAGCAGGGGAGUCCAUAGUGUACAAAGUUCUUCUCAAACAGUACUAUGAGGACGGCAGAGGCCUUCUUAUCCUUUGUCGGAAAAGCCCGAGCGUAGUGAGCGAAAUGGUCAGUCACAACAAGCAUGUUCUCAAAUCCCUGUGAAUCUUGCUCGAGUGAUAGGAAGUCAAUGCAUACCAAAUCAAGUGGGCCUUCACUCAAUUUUGUUCGACGGAGCAGCUCUCUGAGGACGAGUCUUGCGAGUGUAGCCCUGUAAAUAUAUUGCACAAUAUAUUGCACGAUUGGCGGAUUUGGCAUAAAUUGGGGGAGGUGAUUUUGUGAUAGAGAGAAAUUAUUUUUAUUUUUUCCUGGUUUCUUGGAGUUGAUUGACUGGGUCGAUCAUCCAGUGGGAUGAGAGCACAACUGGAAGUCCCGCCUUCCCACGUGGCAGUUCUGUGAGG
rnacentral:lncRNA from 1 species